rnacentral:lncRNA from 1 species
UAUGAUAAAACCCCAAAAUGGAUAUUCUGCUUUCAAUGUUGCUAAAUUAAUAGGAAGAUUUCAAAGAAGCAUGUGUAUCAGAGAUACUGAACAGAGAACAGGGUGGGUGAGUAAGCCUCUUUCUUCAAAAGAAGCAAUUUUACAUGGUGUGUAAAACCGACCUUGGACAAAAAAUGGAACACAAAGAUUAAUCAUUUGUGGUGAAUUUAAACAUGAAUCCGUGGAGCUCCUCCUUUUCUGAAAUCCUCCAUUUCUUUUAAAACAUUCUGGUAAUAAAUUGCUGUGAGUUUUUGCCAUAUCCUAUGUCCUU